rnacentral:rRNA from 1 species
GAUGAACGCUGGCGGCGUGCCUAAUACAUGCAAGUCGAGCGAACAGACGAGGAGCUUGCCUCUCUUCCGUUAGCGGCGGGCGGGUGAGUCAUACGUGUCUACCCUGUCUAUAAGACUGGGAUAACUACGGGAAACCGAAGAUAAUACCGGACAUGAUAUAGAACCGGAUGGUUCAAUAGUGAUAGCGCGUUUUGAUGACACUAAUAGAUGGAACCGCGCCGCAUUAGCUAGUUGGUACGGUAACGGCUUACCAAGGCGACGAUGCGUAGCUGACCUGAGAGGGUGAUCGGCCACACUGGAACUGAGACACGGUCCAGACUCCUACGGGAGGCAGCAGUAGGGAAUCUUCCGCAAUGGGCGAAAGCCUGACGCAGCAACGCCGCGUGAGUGAUGAAGGUCUUCGGAUCGUAAAACUCUGUUAUUAGGGAAGAACAAAUGUGUAAUUAACUAUUCACGUCUUGACGGUACCUACACAAAAAGCCCCGGCUAACUUCGUG